UUGCCAGCCCGCUCAGUCAGAGUUUGAUCCUGGCUCAGAAUGAACGCUGGCGGCAGGCCUAACACAUGCAAGUCGAACGGAGUUAUAUUGUAGCUUGCUAUGGUAUAACUUAGUGGCAGACGGGUGAGUAAUGUAUAGGAAUCUACCUAGUAGUACGGAAUAAUUGUUGGAAACGGCAACUAAUACCGUAUACGCCCUACGGGGGAAAAAUUUAUUGCUAUUAGAUGAGCCUAUAUUAGAUUAGCUAGUUGGUGGAGUAAUAGCCUACCAAGGCAAUGAUCUAUAGCUGAUCUGAGAGGAUGAUUAGCCACACUGGAACUGAGAUACGGUCCAG
rnacentral:rRNA from 1 species